UGGCGGACGGGUGAGUAACGCGUGAGCAACCUGCCCUUCGGAGGGGGAGUAGUGUCUGGAAACGGACAGUAAUACCGCAUAACGUAUUGAUACCGCAUGAUAUUGAUACCGAAACUGAGGUGCCGAAGGAUGGGCUCGCGUUGGAUUAGAUAGUUGGUGGGGUAACGGCCUACCAAGUCGACGAUCCAUAGCCGGACUGAGAGGUUGAACGGCCACAUUGGGACUGUGACACGGCCCAGACUCCUACGGGAGGCAGCAG
rnacentral:rRNA from 1 species